AUGUAUUGGGGCAACAAAAAGAAACUGGAACGAGAAGUGAAGAAACAGGCCGAGGAGAUAGAGAGCUUGAAGGCUCAACUCUUAGAGUCCCUACAAGAAAACCAGAAGCUUAAGGGCGGCAUAUUUGGUAUGUUGACCGGCAGUCCCGAGGAUCAAAUACAUGUCCUCCAGAGAGACAUUCUGAAGGAGCUGGCAAAGCUGCACGAGCGUGCUCGGAAGGCUAUGAAGAAUAUGGUAAAAGCCUUAUGGCCUUCCGAAGUCCCUCUAGAAGAUAUGGAGGGGUUGGCUGAUCUAUUCAAGGGCGCCCACCGUCAGUUCGAGCUGUGGAAGACAUCUACGUGUUGUGAAGGCGCUCGAGAGACAUGGGCCAUGGUGUAG
rnacentral:rRNA from 1 species